AGAUUUCAGUUGAGAAGCAAUGCUGUUUCACCUCCCUGAGAGAAUUGCCUUGUUUGUGAAAUACUACAGAAAAACCUGUAUUUUCUCCAGAAAAUGAAAGGUCUUGGCCUGAGUAAAUCAAGGCAGAAAACUCACCCCCGUGAAAGCUGCAGCUCUGAGAGUGUGUGGGCAGGCAUUUAUUGCAGAAAAAAUAUGAGGCUUGCUGGUAGUAUUCCCAGGUGACAAAUGUGCACCCAACACCCUACAGAAAAGAAGAACCAUAAAAUAAUUAAUUAUUCCAUUGUAACUCCUGCCUGGAAAACAUCUGGAUGCUUGGAUGUUUUCACACCACUCUGACACAUGGAUGGAAGGUUAGAAGACAACAAAGGAAUGGGCUGGGAAGGACUCCAAAAGCAGAAUCAGAGAUUAUAUCAUUCCUUGGAAAUGGAGAAAAGGAUCAAAAAAGCUGAAUAAAAGGUAGUCCCAGCAACAAUGUCUCCUUGUGAACAGACUUUUGAGUAUUUGGCUUUGUUAUCCCCCAGAGAAUACAAAUGUCUCUAUGGACACCAAGGUCAUAAUAACUCCACUUCUCCCAUCCCCCUCACACCCUUUGGCAGCCUCAUAUAUUCUCAUUAUAGUAAACUCAAUUCACCAGAAAAUUUCAAGAAAA
ensembl:lncRNA LINC02831 long intergenic non-protein coding RNA 2831